rnacentral:ncRNA from 1 species
CGGGCGGUAGACUCCGUCCAAGGCUAAAUACAGGCGAGAGACCGAUAGCGAACAAGUACCGCGAGGGAAAGAUGAAAAGGACUUUGAAAAGAGAGUCAAAGAGUGCUUGAAAUUGCCGGGAGGGAAGCGGGUGGGGGCCGGCGAUGCGCCCCGGCCGUAUGCGGAACGGCUCUUGCUGGUCCGCCGCUCGGCUCGGGGUGUGGACUGUUGUCGGCCGCGUCGGCGGCCAAAGCCCGGGGGCCCUAGGUGCC